UACGUAGGGCGCAAGCGUUAAUCGGAAUUACUGGGCGUAAAGCGUGCGCAGGCGGUUGUGUAAGACAGAUGUGAAAUCCCCGGGCUCAACCUGGGAACUGCAUUUGUGACUGCACGGCUGGAGUGCGGCAGAGGGGGAUGGAAUUCCGCGUGUAGCAGUGAAAUGCGUAGAUAUGCGGAGGAACACCGAUGGCGAAGGCAAUCCCCUGGGCCUGCACUGACGCUCAUGCACGAAAGCGUGGGGAGCAAACAGG
rnacentral:rRNA from 1 species